CAUAUUUUGACACGCCAACCCGGGACACGCCAACCCGAACACGACACGAUUGCCAGUGCCAGCCAGGCCUAGGAGUUGUUCUUCCAUUUUGAUGUUGAACUAAACGAGUUCAAUUCAAGAAGCAACCCUCCAACUUGAAAUAUUAGUGUGUGAAUGUGUGUGUACGCUCUUAGGUGCGUCGUUAAGGAGAAGAAUCAUGGUGAGGUAUCAUUCCGGCGAACUUUUGGGUUUAUUCUAAAUGAUAUCAUUGGCCAAGUGGGUUUGAGAUAGAGAGAUGGUAGCCGAGAAGCUGUAGUCGAAAUCAGAAGAUGUUUGUCUCUGGUGGCUGGCGAGAUGGAGGCACAGGAGACAAAUCAAGCGGUAGCUUCUUGCCGAGAAAUAGUAGCAUUUCUACCACAUCGCAUAUGGUUCUUUUCCGACGAAUCUCCAUGGAACCAAUGAGCAACUUAAUGGAGUCGAGUUCCACUUGAGGCUCAUGAUCCGUGGUUAAGUUAAUAGUUCCUGACGCCCAAGGAAUAGGCAUACGUGAAGAAGCUAUGAACUCCUUGAAGCUCCGGUGGCGGGAGGAUGUCAUAAAUAAUUUCAUGGCAAAGCUAGUUAAGGAAGGUGCAGGGGCUGACUUCUAUGGCCGGAGGUAGUUAAAGACUGUCAGAGGUGAAAGGUGACAUCACCGAUGAAGAAGCCGUGGCCAGAGGUAGCUACGCCACCAGAGUUGAGAUUGACAUGGGAGUUGGAUGUGGCGGCUGUGCUUAGAUGGACGAUGCAGCCAACAAACCCUUGAGCAUUCCGAAUAUGAGCUGAGGGUCGGGUAGGGCAUGUCAGAAUCAUACUGAGGGCUCAGUAGCAUUCUAGAUACAAGUUGAGGACCAAUUGGUAUGGCAGACUCGUAUUGAUGGCUGAACAUUGGUAUUCCAGUCCAAUGAUUGAUUGGACUAGGGAGCAAGCCAGACAUAAGCUAUGGGCCCCGAAGGCAAGCCAAACUUAUGUUGUGAGGUCAGAAGCAAGCCAAAUAUGAGAUGUGGGCCUGAUAGGCAAGCCAGACUCAUACUGUGAGCUCAAGGGUUCUUUAGAGGAUCGUGGCAAGGCGAAGGCAUAACCGUACACAUCCCCUGUUUUAUGUACUUUUUAUCUAUGGGGAACUCUGAUUUUAAAUCAUGAUCUGAAACAAUGGUUUUGUAAACACUUUUAUUAGUAAUUGGGUUGUUUUGAAAA